GAUGAACGCUAGCUACAGGCUUAACACAUGCAAGUCGAGGGGCAGCAGGACGAUAGCUUGCUAUUGUCGCUGGCGACCGGCGCACGGGUGCGUAACGCGUAUGCAACCUACCCACUACAGGGGGAUAACGGAGGGAAACUUCCACUAAUAUCCCAUAGUGUUGUUUUUUCGCAUGGAGAGACAACUAAAGCUUCGGUGGUAGUGGAUGGGCAUGCGUGACAUUAGGUAGUUGGCGGGGCAACGGCCCACCAAGCCGACGAUGUCUAGGGGAGCUGAGAGGCUUAUCCCCCACACUGGUACUGAGACACGGACCAGACUCC
rnacentral:rRNA from 1 species